rnacentral:rRNA from 1 species
GACGUAGGUGGCGAACGUUAUCCGGAAUUAUUGGGCGUAAAGGGUGCGUAGAUGGCCUGAUAAGUUAGCAGUGGGAAAUCGAGGCUCAACCUCGUGGAAGCUGGUAAUACUGUCAGGCUCGAGUGCAGGAGAGGUUAACGGAACCCCAUGUGGAGCGGUAAAAUGUGUAGAUAUAUGGAAGAACACCAAUAACGGCGAAGGCAGUUAACUAUUCUGUUACUGACAUUGAGGCACGAAAGCGUGGGGAGCAAAACGG